rnacentral:snoRNA from 13 species
GCUGGUCGAUGAUGACCUAUUUUAAAUUGUGGACUUCUUGGAUGAUGCUCGCGGAUAUGGGACUGAGAUCAGCA